GGUAGUAACACGUGGAUAACCUACCUAUAAGACUGGGAUAACUUCGGGAAACCGGAGCUAAUACCGGAUAAUAUAUUGAACCGCAUGGUUCAAUAGUGAAAGACGGUUUUGCUGUCACUUAUAGAUGGAUCCGCGCCGCAUUAGCUAGUUGGUAAGGUAACGGCUUACCAAGGCAACGAUGCGUAGCCGACCUGAGAGGGUGAUCGGCCACACUGGAACUGAGACACGGUCCAGACUCCUACGGGAGGCAGCAGCC
rnacentral:rRNA from 1 species